rnacentral:rRNA from 1 species
AGAGUUUGAUCCUGGCUCAGAACGAACGCUGGCAGCGUGGAUGAGGCAUGCAAGUCGAACGGUUCAUUUUUAUAGCAAUAUGAAAAAUGAAUAGUGGCGGAAGGGCGAGUAAUGCGAGAGCAAGCUACCCUUAGGUUUGGGACAACAUCUGGAAACGGAUGCUAAUACCGGAUACGAAGCGCAACCGCAUGGUUGUGUCUUGAAAGAUGGGGACCCGCAAGGGCCUGUCGCCGAAGGAGGUGCUCCCGUGCCAUCAGCUUGUUGGUAAGGUAAUGGCUUACCAAGGCUUACGGCUAGGUGGACUGAGAGGUUGGUCACCCGCACUGGGACUGAGACACUGCCCAGACUCCUACGGGAGGCUGCAGUCGAGAAUCAUUCGCAGUGGGCGAAAGCCUGACGAUGCGACGCUGCGUGUAGGACGAAGGCCUUCGGGUCGUAAACUACUGUCAUGUGGGACAAGGGUGUCGGUGUUAAUAGCACCAUGCACUGGAUGGUACCACAAGAGGAAGCCACGGCUAACUCUGUGCCAGCAGCCGCGGUAAUACAGAGGUGGCAAGCGUUGUUCGGAUUUGCUGGGCGUAAAGCGUGCGAAGGCGGUCGCGUGUGUUGGAUGUGAAAUCCCGGGGCUCACCCCCGGACGUGCAUCCAAAACUGCGUGGCUAGAGGCCGGGAGAGGAGUCUGGAACACAUGGUGUAGCGGUGAAAUGCGUUGAUAUCAAAAGGAACACCGGAUGCGAAGGCGAGACUCUGGAACGGAUCUGACGCUGAGGUACGAAAGCGUGGGGAGCAAAAAAAAUUAGAUACCCUGGUAGUCCACGCCGUAAACGGGUGCACAUUUGCCGUAGGGGGAAUUGACCCCCCCUGUGGCGUAGCUAACGUGUUAAAUGUGCCGCCUGGAGAGUACGGCCGCAAGGUUAAAACUCAAAGAAAUUGACGGGGACCCGCACAAGCAGCGGAGCAUGUGGUUUAAUUCGAAGCAACGCGAAGAACCUUACCAGGACUUGACAUGCCCUUGCCCGUUCUAGAGAUAGGCAAUUAUCCUUCGGGAUACAGAGGACACAGGUGGUGCAUGGUUGUCGUCAGCUCGUGUCGUGAGAUGUUGGGUUAAGUCCCGCAACGAGCGCAACCCUUGUCUUUAGUUGCUAACAAGUAAAGUUGAGCACUCUAGAGAGACUGCCGAUGAUAAAUCGGAGGAAGGUGGGGAUGACGUCAAAUCAUCAUGCCCUUUAUGUCCUGGGCUACACACGUGCUACAAUGGUCGGUACAACGAGGAGCCACACAGCGAUGUGAAGCAAAUCUCUAAAAGCCGAUCCCAGUUCGGAUUGCAGGCUGCAAUUCGCCUGCAUGAAGUCGGAGUUGCUAGUAAUCGCGAAUCAGAAUGUCGCGGUGAAUGCGUUCCCGGGUCUUGCACACACCGCCCGUCAAG